rnacentral:misc_RNA from 1 species
ACUUAACCCCACCACAAUCUCCACCACAUCCUCUCUCUUCCACUACUAUUACCCCCUCAACCCAAAUAUACACUAAAAACCAAAAACUAAAGUAGAAAAAUCUUUGCUAUGUUGAAUUAUCAAACACCUCAUACCCUAGUAAACACUACUACCACCACCACCAAUUACAACACCAACACUACAACAGAAAAUCAUCAAGAAGAUGAACAACAAAUCAGAGAUAUACAUGCUUUAACCCCACCAAGACCUCCAUCAAAUAGUGGCCGUCGAAUCGAAACUUGGGAAACAAGUAGCCAUAGAUCAUCAUCAAUUUCCGAAGUAGCAUCUAGUGAGAAUUUCUCUACUAUGAGCCGGGAGUUCAGCGCCCUCGUUCUCGCGGGAUCGUCAGUUAGCAACAAUCCCGCUAGCGAGAACGAGGUGAAUAAUCAUAUAUAUAAUAACAACAAUUAUAAUAGCAAUAAUUUGGGGAGCAUCGGCGAAGAAGAAAAUGAUGCGCCGAUAGAAGAAACAAAUCCGUUAGCUAUUGUGCCGGAUAAUUAUAGUAAUACUUUAGAUCCGAUUAUUGUUAAUCCUUCAAGAAGGAUUAAUAAUAAUAAUAAUAAUAA